rnacentral:rRNA from 1 species
CCUACGGGUGGCAGCAGUGGGGAAUCUUCCGCAAUGGGCGAAAGCCUGAUGGAGCGACGCCGCGUGGGGGAUGAAGGGCUUCGGCUUGUAAACCCCUGUCAGCCGGGAGCAAACCUUUCCUGUGAAUAGCAGGAGAGCUGAUAGUACCGGCAGAGGAAGGGACGGCUAACUCUGUGCCAGCAGCCGCGGUAAUACAGAGGUCCCGAGCGUUGUUCGGAUUCACUGGGCGUAAAGGGUGCGUAGGCGGUUGGGUAAGUCUGAUGUGAAAUCCCGGAGCUCAACUCCGGAACUGCAUUGGAAACUAUCCGGCAAGAGGGUUGGAGGGGGGACUGAAAUUCCCGGUGUAGCAGUGAAAUGCGUAGAUAUCGAGAGGAACACCAGUGGCGAGGGCGAGUCCCUGGACAACGCCUGACGCUGAGGCACGAAAGCUGGGGGAGCAAACAGGAUUAGAUCCCCCUGUAGU